rnacentral:rRNA from 1 species
UGGGGAAUUUUGGACAAUGGGCGAAAGCCUGAUCCAGCAAUGCCGCGUGUGUGAAGAAGGCCUUCGGGUUGUAAAGCACUUUUGUCCGGAAAGAAAUCCUUGGCUCUAAUACAGUCGGGGGAUGACGGUACCGGAAGAAUAAGCGCCGGCUAACUACGUGCCAGCAGCCGCGGUAAUACGUAGGGUGCAAGCGUUAAUCGGAAUUACUGGGCGUAAAGCGUGCGCAGGCGGUUUGCUAAGACCGAUGUGAAAUCCCCGGGCUCAACCUGGGAACUGCAUUGGUGACUGGCAGGCUAGAGUAUGGCAGAGGGGGGUAGAAUUCCACGUGUAGCAGUGAAAUGCGUAGAGAUGUGGAGGAAUACCGAUGGCGAAGGCAGCCCCCUGGGCCAAUACUGACGCUCAUGCACGAAAGCGUGGGGAGCAAACAGGAUUAGAUACCCUGGUAGUCCACGCCCUAAACGAUGUCAACUAGUUGUUGGGGAUUCAUUUCCUAGUAACGUAGCUAACGCGUGAAGUUGACCGCCUGGGGAGUACGGUCGCAAGAUU